UACGUAGGGUCCGAGCGUUGUCCGGAAUUAUUGGGCGUAAAGGGCUCGUAGGCGGUCUGUUGCGUCGGGAGUGAAAACUUACAGCUUAACUGUGAGCGUGCUUUCGAUACGGGCAGACUUGAGGCAUUCAGGGGAGAACGGAAUUCCUGGUGUAGCGGUGAAAUGCGCAGAUAUCAGGAGGAACACCGGUGGCGAAGGCAGGUCUCUGGGCAUUAACUGACGCUGAGGAGCGAAAGCAUGGGGAGCGAACAGG
rnacentral:rRNA from 1 species